UAAUAUACUGUUUUUAUAAAUACCUAAUAUUAUUAUAAUUAUAAUUACGGAGUUUAGAGACGCUUGGCUGGAACGUCAAUCAUAGCAUAUCUGUUUGAUGUAUAUUAUACAAUUAUUUCCCGUAUCGUGUUUUUUCCCGUAGGUUUUUUUACCUCUACUGUGUAGUAGUUGAUUUAAGCCCUUUCUCGUACAAAACCAUAGUAUGCAAAACGAAUAUUAUAGGUUUUUUUUGUAGAGCGUUUUCACAUUGGCAACUUAGUUGCCGACUAUCGAGUUGCUGGCAAUCUAGGAUACCUUAUAUCGGAUUCAAACGGACAACUUGACGGUAAUAAUUAUCGGGCGACAUUUGUCGAACAGUUUGCGAAUUUACUACCGAACUAUCGUGGAAGCAAGUAUCGCAAUAGCAUGCACGAAAGCGUGAUAGUUGAUAAUUUCUAUCACGAGGUUUUAGUAUGAUGAUGUAUGCAAGAGCGCACACUAUAACGAUUUGGUGCCGGCCAAUUAAUAAGUUUGAUGAGCUACACGAUUUCGUUCAAACUAAACAGUCGGUGAGCUAUCGGCCGACUGCUUAAUCAUUAUAGCGCUCACCCACAGCUAGCACACUCGACUCGACCGAUAGAUUCAUUUUGAUACGGGAAGGCACCGCGAUGAUGAUUUCGUUGCUUGUUGAAACAUUAUUACAAAAUAUUUUAAUAGGGUAGUUUGUUGUGUUGAAUCGAAAAUCAAAACGUAUUAUAAUACUCGAGUGUAAAAAUGAUAACAAACACUAUUCAAAAAUGCAAAAAUUGUCCACCACGCAUAAAACGUCUGGUUUCAGCGUUCAGUACCGUGUUGUACAACAAGUUAACUAUAUAGUGUUUUACACUUCAAUAUUUUCGAUAUCAUAGCGCAGGUAUAUAUUGCCAAUUUUCAAUUCUUCACUCUCCAACCACCGACCUAUUUUAUAUUUUAGGAUAAAAAGAAAUUCAAAUUCCUAUUUAUUUAAAAUUAAAAGAAAAGAUACAAUAAUAUAAUAUGAUAUAUGAUUUAAUUAUUAGAUAAACAUACGCAUACUAAUAUAUUGUGAUGAUGAAAAAAGGAGCGGCAAUCCGUUCACCCGCAAGAGGUUAUCUGUGUUAUCACCGGCCACCACUGAGCAUAUUUUUAUUUUAAUAUUACAUAUGAAAAAAUUGACUAUACUCGUUUUUCUUUUAAUACGUCAUAAAUUCACCAGUGCUGCAAAGUUUUAAACAAUUCAAGUAGUCUAAGUUUUUCCGAACAAUUAAAGAAAAUCCCACAAAAAUAAAAAUAAUUUUAUUUUAGUGCUAAAUGACGUCCAAAUGAUUACCGAAGUAAUGAUCCAGAGAGUGGCAACAGGUGCCAUAUUAUAAAAUAUUGAUGAGUAUUUGCCACCCCCACCACCUACCUAAGGAAAAAUAAACAC